rnacentral:piRNA from 1 species
UGUCCUUGCUGACUGUGUUCAAUGCCAGGC